rnacentral:lncRNA from 1 species
UGCUCCUCUUGUUCUCUUCAUGUACUUGGGAUGAAUUGGUAGCUGUGUCCAAACAAGUUCCUAGUAUCUAUUGUGUGCUGGGGAGGGGGAAUCCAGGAGGGACAAUUGCCUCCCACAAGGAGCUUAAAGUCUAAAGGAGACCAAACAUAAGUGGGAAGUGCCUUACAAUGGAAUCACGCUGUUUCCCAGUUUCCAUGAUGCAGGACUUUGAGGCAGUGUGUGGCUCUUAUAGCUGAUGGUUAUGGUAAGUCCAGAAGCAAACCUUGCAGGUUCAAAGCAGCCUAACUCUUCAGCCUUGACCUUGGCCUUUCUAGGCUAAACGAAACAGGUAAUACACAAAUUUUAAUGAGCAUUUUCUGUAUUCUGGGUAUUCUAUUAAGUUUUUCAAAGCCAUUAUCUCACUGGAUCCCAGAAGAAGGUCCAAUGAAGCAGAUAUAUUCCUCCUGCUUUGGAGCUGAGAAAACAGAAGCACAGGCAGGUGAAGGAGCUUUCCCAAGGUCACAAAGUCCAAUUUCUGGAAUUGGAACAGGCCUGAAGGACCUUGCAUUCUGGACCAUUACCCUGAACUUCUCAGAGAGGGCUGUAAUUUAUGACAUCUUGCAUAAGGCGCUGCAGCACUGACCUGCACUGAACCCAAGUAGAUUUAGUUUGCUCAGAUCUGUGGCAACCUGAGUGUAAUAUCAAUGGUUCAAUGGUUCUCCAAUCCCAGCUCUUUGUAGCUCCGUCUUCCCUUUUUCCCAUAUUAUUGACUCAGAAUCUGAUUUGCAUUUGCAGAGGAAACAGCGAGUGGAGAACCUGGCAGAAACUUUAAUGAUGCCAAGAGGGACACAUUGAAUGGAAAUGUGUUGAACUAACUCAUGAAGAGCUGAAGCCAGCUGUCAGCAGGCUUAAUGAAAGGUUAACAGGAAUUCAGCAAUGGGCGGCUGGGGAGACUCUUUGUCUCUCUAAAGAAAACAGAAAGUUGAGAAGUGGGCUCCCUGGAUGGAGGCAGGAGCAGAAGGAGGAAGCCACUGGAAACCACAAGUCUGAC